AGAUUUAGGGUUUCCGCCAAGUAUUCUUGUUUUUCUUUGAAGUUUCGUUUCUUAAGUUGAGCCUUGGCACUUUUCAGCUAUUUUUGUUGAUUUGGAAGUACAUUUUGAAGGAAACUACAUUUUUUUCUGUUUUGACCACUACCUAAUUGAACACUUGCUCCAGAGGCCCUUAAGACACAGCUCUUUUUCACUACAGAGAAGACAAGAAAUACUGCAAAGGCAGCAAGAAGACUAACAGCUCAAUCUUCCCAAGAAACUGGAAAAGCUAUACCCAGUUUGGAUAUCAGAUGGAAUGCCAGGUUACAAAUCUGAGUUUAAAAAUCAGCCUUCUUCCAAGGGACUAAGAAUGAUUUCCUCCCUAAUCCUGGCACACCUAGUAGCCCUUGUGAAUUGCUGUAGUUGAUGAAGUCUAUGGAACAAUUUUCAGAGUUGAGGCAUGAUAAGUAUCAUUGCUACCAAAUGUUUAUUAACAGAUGAAAUUAAUUGAGCAUGCUAGAGAAAUUAAUUUUACAAGUUUGCAUUUGAAUUUUUCUGGUUGUACUUGAAAAAUGACUCCGCAUAGAAUUCUGUACCAACUUUCAUUAUCUUUCUUCCGGAAAUCUCUCAACGAAGUGAUCGGUACCCCCCGGAUUUGCUCUUCGACCACGUCAAUGUAAACUUCUCUCAUUUCAUUUCAUUUCAUCACAAUCCUCUUAUCAUUUAUGACACUUUUUACCUCUCUUCUUUCCUUUUUGGUUGAGAAUUUAGUCAAACAAGUAGGUAGAUUGGUGCUUUAGCCUAACUGUGUUAGAGGAGGCACAGGCCUUUCAGCAGAACUCUAACGGUUAGUUAACAACUCAUUUAGUAAAACCCAACGGCUUAGAAUCAAUGUUAGUGUGCAUUUCACCAGGAUUGCCACGUCAGACACAAAGGAGUAUAGAUUCAAAUGUAAUUCAAGCAAUGUAACUUUUCGCCAUUCUAUUAAUAAAAUAAGAGGUUAUACAGUAUUUCAGUUCAUUCUUUUUCUCUUUAUAAACUUAGGGUUCGUUUUUUCCUCUUCAAUUUUUUUUUUUUCAAUCAAUCUACACUGUUUUCAUUUUCUCACCAAAUUUUGGUAUCAUUACACUUUCCGAUAAACAGAGUACUCUGUUUUUGCAACCAUUUGUUUCAUCUUUAACACCUUUCUUAUGGCACUUUCAAGUAGAUGCUUUUUGGUUGAACGGAGAAAGUACUAAUGAAUGAGUUCACAAUUUGAAUUGUUUUACUGAUAUGAAUGACGUUGCAGAUCGUUUGAAUGAUGUGGGUGUUGACGAAAUCGUGAAAGAAACGCAACACAGGUGAUUGAAUGUAAUUGAGAUAUGUAAAAUAUUUGAAAACCAUGAAAAGCUUCAAAUACUUGCCUCUCAACCACAACGAAGGCCUCCAACUGCAAAGGCUUUGAGAGUUUAGGAAGGAUGACCACGUGUGGAGUAAGAAGAAAAAAAAAGAUGCAAAGACAGUACAUGAGUUUAUUAAAAUUUCAAGGGAACAUGUAGGCAUAGUACUUCUUCACUAAAGGGAAGACAAGAGGACAACAUUAGAUCACAUUAUAUCUUUUAAUUAUUGCGUAUACAGUCAUGUUUUGAGUCUCCCUCUUUUAUAUAUAUUUUUUCUAAUACAAACAAGAAAACCCAAAAAAUCAUAAAUAUAACAAGAAAACAACCAAAGUAGCCAUUUAAUCUUCCCAAUAAGUUAGAAAAGUUAUGUCUCUUAAUUGUAAGCGUGAUAUAAUUUUAACGAGUAUUUUAAUAUUUAUUUAAUUUUACAUUGUUUCAUUUUUAUUGUGGAUCAUGUUGAUAAUUUUGGUGGCGCUACAAUUAAAAGUUUUCAUAAAAGAUAUGAAAACCUGUUGUCUUAACAACUAUAUAACUGAAAUUUCAUUGGAAGAGGUAACAAAAAAUCUAUUUUUAUAUAGGUUUCUUUCCCACAUAAGUUCUUGUAUUGAUUCAAGAGGAUUUUUUUUUCCUUUUAAAUUGAAACAAUCCAUUGCUACCCUAAAGGUGUUUAUCCCUUAGCCCUAAACAAAAAAUUUGUUUUUUAUAGGUUUCUUUCCAACACAAGUUUUUGUAUUGAUUCCAGAGUUUUUUUUCUCUUUUUUUGAAUUGAAACAAUCCAUUACUACCCUAAAGGUGUUUAUCCAAAUUUUCGUUGCAUAAUUUUAUAGAAGCUUCAAUUAUGACUCAAGAAACUUUUGGUAUAGGUGAAGGUGGGUUUACGGUUUUAGAUGUAGAAGUGAUACAUUUUGUAGUUGCGCUGAGUUAUACUCUGGCUUUUUAAGACAUAUUUAGUGCGGCAAAAAUAGAUAUAAAUUUGAGUAAUGAAAAUGAAUUUUCAACUUUUUAUUGGGCAGUAAAAUAUGAGAGGUAAAACUCUUCAAGUUACUUUACCUUUGCGGGUGGCACCAAAUAUGUGGUAAGAGUUUUACCUUCAAUAUUUUGUUACCCAAUGAAGGGUUGUAAAUACAUUCUCAUCAUUUGAGUUUAUAUCUAUUUUUGUUGCACCAAUUAUGACUUGUAACGCUAGAGUUAGCCAAGUGUAACUGUAACAUGUAUUACUUUUACAUUUAAUACCAUAAGCCUACCUCCAUCUUCACCAAGUUUCUUGAGCCAUAAAUGAAACUUCUAAAAUUAUGUAGCGGAAUUUUGGAUAAACACUUUUAGAGUAGAAGGAGUAGCAGUGGAUUGUUUUAAUCCAAAAAAAAAAAAAUACUUUUAAUCAAUACAAGAACUUGUGUUGAGGAGAAACUUAUGUAAACUUUUAAGGGUAUAACUUUUCUAGCUUCUUGGGAAGAUUGAAAGGUUACUUUGGUGGUCCUCUUGUCAUGUUUAUGAUUUAUCUAUUUCUUGAUUUUUUUCAAAAAGUUAAAUAAAUAAAAGAGUAAGACUCAAAUAUGGCCUUGUACACAACAAUUGAAAGAUACGAUGUGAUCUAAAAUACACAUUGAUGAAACAUGUUUAAAAUGCUGAAAUAGGUGAAAUAUUUGCCAACCAUAAAAGCCUCGAUAUACUUAUCUCUCAACAACCAGAAACACCUACAAAAAGUUUAAGAAGGAUGGACAUGUGUGGAGCAAAAAGAUGGAAAGACUAUUCAGGAAACUCAUGUCAACCUCAAGGCCCAAAGAUGAGAAACCGUGAAGAAAUCCAGAUGCAGCAGAGGGAGAAAAUGGACCUGGGAUGUACAUGUCAGUGGCUCUAAAUAAUGACACACAACCUAAGACUGGGAUGGAAAUAGGGGCGGUUAUGAGAAUUAAAAUGGGAGUGGGAGAGCAUUGCUGUGUAGAAAGAAUCAUGUAGAAAAAAUUGUAUUGAGAAUUUAUUUUUGGGGGGAGUACUGGCCUCUCAUAUUAGCUAGCUUAGUAUUUUCAUCUUCGUAUUGGAGUGUGUUUUUCCUGAAGCAGUUUCCAGUUUAUUCCUAUUGACAGCAUUGUAAUGAAAUGAAUUGAGUGAUUGAAUAUUACAUUGAUAAAUGAAAGAAACAUUUUCUGAUAACAUUCUGUGCUGCCCCCUAUUUUUCUGCUAUUACGUUGCUUCAUUUUGGUAGGUUGACGCUGUGAAAUUGACAUUUGCUUGCUGAAGUAGUGAUUCUGUUGUGCACUUGUUGAUUGUGCUCUUGGGUGGUGGAGAAAGGGUCUGAAGUGUUGGAACAAGGCUGAGUAGAGAGACUUAAGAUCAACUUAAGUUGGAGAGAGACUGUAGAAAUUGCAGCAGCUGCCUUUUCACUGGUGUGCAGCGUUGAGAUGUUGGAGUGCUUGUAUUGUAUGUCCACGGACAAGAAAUGAAAAUUUUCAGACACCUGUCUAUUGGUGAUUAACAGCUGCAGAGGGCCUUCAGACAUAGCUCUUUUUCACCACUGAGAAGACAAAGUUAGCUCAUAUCUCUCUAUUUUUGUGCUUCGUCUGUUCUCAUCUAAAUCUGCUUCUUUAUUUCAUGCCCUUCUUCAAUUCUAGUUGUCACAUUGUUUCUGAGAAUGCGAGGAAGCCAGGAAAUAUUGCAAACACGGUAAGAAGUCUACCAAAGUAACCACUCAAUCUUUUCAAGAAACUGGAAAAACAAUACCCAUUUAGGGGGUAUUAGGUUCUUGUUCUUAUAACUUAAUUUACAAGUAAUAAGUUGAUUAGCUUGUUUUGAUUAGUUAAAAUCUGUGCUUUCUGUUCCAGGAGAUGGAAUGCCUUAUUACAAUUGUUAGUUUGAAAGUAAGCCUUUCCCCCAAGAGACUAAGAAUGACUUCCUCCCUAAUCCUGGUACACCUGGUUGCCAUUAUGAUUUGCAGGUAACGAAGAAGUCUGUGGAACAAUUUUCAGAGGUAAAGCUUGAUAAGCUUGAAAACUGCCCUGUAUAUCAAUCUAAUUCUCUUCAAUUUUUUUAAAGAACAUAAACUUCUUGUUUCUACCACAAAAGUAUACUUUCUGAAAAUCAUUGAAGUAGAUGUGUUU